rnacentral:hammerhead_ribozyme from 1 species
AUCCAGAUGACUAGUCCCAAAUAGGACGAAAUGCGUGUCCUGGAU